rnacentral:rRNA from 1 species
AUUGAACGCUGGCGGCAGGCCUAACACAUGCAAGUCGAACGAGUGGCGGACGGGUGAGUAAUGUCUGGGACACUGCCCGAUGGAGGGGGAUAACUACUGGAAACGGUAGCUAAUACCGCAUACUAUCGGAUGUGCCCAGAUGGGAUUAGCUAGUAGGUGGGGUAACGGCUCACCUAGGCGACGAUCCCUAGCUGGUCUGAGAGGAUGACAAGCCACACUGGAAUUGAGACACGGUCCAGACUCCUACGGGAGGCAGCAGUGGGGAAUAUUGCACAAUGGGCGAAAGCCUGAUGCAGCCAGGCCGCGUGUAUGAAGAAGGCCUUCGGGUUGUAAAGUACUUGCAGCGGGGAGGCGUUACCCGCAGAAGAAGCACCGGCUAACUCCGUGCCAGCCGCCGCGGUAAUAC